GAAGUUUUUGGCAAUUUCAAAAUUUAAAUCACAACUUCUCCUUUUCUCUAGAUCUGGGACCCUAGCCUCCACAUCUCCGAUAUCCUAAAUCCGCUCUCCUCCCCUACGCACACAAAGAUGAUAUCGGAAGAAAUGGAGAUGAAAUACAAACAACAUCAAAUCGAAAACGCACAAGGUUGAACAGCGAUUUGAAUAAACCUUAACCAUUUCGCAGGUAGCAAUGAACGGUUCUGUUGAUUUGCGCUUUGCGGGAACACAUUGAAUUAACCAGUCUGCAUGCAGGUUUCAGGUCUAAAUGGAAUUAUACCAUUGGCUACUGGCUUGGAACUGACAGCCCAUAGAGCCCAUCAUUCAGUUUUGGUCUUGAACUUGCACAAAAUUCAGAGUUCAUAGCAUCCUUCUAUGAAUAUGUGGUGGCCCAAAGAAGGGUAACCUGCCUUUUCAUUUGCUAGAGCUAACAAGCAAUGGAUUUUAAUGAUUAUUUGCAUGACUUGAACAAAUCUCAGAAGGUGCUAUCAUCGAUUGCUUAAUCACCAGGUUUAUGACCUAUGUGGCUGAUAGGAUCCAACGCGUGUAUUCCAGAAAGAACAGGGCCAAACCAGUUGGGCCAGAUGUAUUUGGGCCAGAGCAUUUUAAUUAUAUUUUUGGGCUCUGGCAGUCUGGCUUGACCCACUUAGUCAACACAACAAUGAAAUCGUGGAGUGGUUGGGAGCAGUUCAUGACCAAGUUUCCAGGAGCAGUUAGCAAUCGCAACCUUGUUUAGGUUUUAAGAGGUUUUGCUAAUCCUCUUGGGAUCAAGUGAGCCAGCCGAUGGAUCCGAGCGAGUUGGUUAAGCUUGCUGACAUUUUAAAUCCUAAUAAUAAGCUUGGAAGGAUUACAGUGAUUGUAAAAAUGGAAGCCGAGAAUAUGAGAGUGAAGCUUCACCUUUGAUAAAGGCAAGCCAGGUUGUGACUUGGGCGUGACCCAAUGCAUGGGAACACUAUAAAGGUGCCUUCUGGCUUUAAAACACGUCCAUUCGAUUCCUUAUUGGCAAUGGUGCGAGCUUUCUUUGAUGUUCAUGACAAGAAGGAAGACAUCCAGGAGGGAUUCAUAUGGAGAUGAUGAAAGAAUGUGAUAUAGCUUGUUGGCGGACCGCAGAUCGUGAUCAUAGUAUCAUACACGAUGGAAAGGGUAUAUACAUGCUUAAUGACAAGUAUCGUGAAUGAAAAUAACCUUUUUGCGUGACAUAUACAUGUGCCAACGGACAACAAACAAUAGUGAUGUUGGUGGAGAUAAAGACAAUUUCCUACUGGUAGAUGGCCAAAAGGUCAAGGAAUGCAGUAUCUAAUUUGGAGAGUUGGUGUAGGUUAGAGGGGAUGUCUUUUGAUUAAGUUAUGUUUGUUUUCCUUUUUUGGGGUUGCUCCCUCGCUGCACUUGUGAUGCCCUCUUAACAGCUUUGCUAAGGGUGGUAUGUUUUGUUUGAAUACAUGCUUCCUUAGUUGGCCAAAAAAAUUAGCCUAACUCAGUAGAGUGAGCUUGACUUGGCAAUAAUUUUCGAAAUUAUGAUAUAGAAAGACAACUUUUUAUUCAGUUUUUCAUCCAA